UCCUGGAUGCAAAUUAAAUACUUCCCUCCGCAGAAGACUUAUCUCGGGGUAGGGCCGCAGCCGGAUUUCCAAAUCGCGGGUUUGAUUUUCGCUGCGUCCUCUCCGCGACGCGCGCAGGGAGCGCGCCCGGCCACCUGCAGCCUCUGGCUGCGGCCAUCUUUCCGCCUGGGGCCACCUGGCCUGCGCCCUUUGUGCCCGGCCCGCUCCGUGACUGUUCUUCUUGCCGCUACUUACAGAACUCAGCCGCCUUAGCGUCUUAGAGAAGAGGACGGCAUGCAUGCGGACCCCGUCCACCACACCUGGAGAGCAGGGAGCCCUUAGUCCCUGGACACUUACCAGGGCCGCCACCCCUGGUCCACGCACGUGAUGACAUCUCACCAGGGGCAGCACACCGCCCGAGUCCGCGACACUGAUAACACCUCCUGCGGGCAGGAGGGCGCCACAGCCACCCCUGGUCCCCUAGAUUGUGUGAGGCUAGCAUUUCUGCCCGCCUCUUGGCGUGGACAGCACGCUGGACCGAGAUGGAACCACAGCUUUCUCUUCCCAAUCCCUGGCCUCACCGUUUUGUUUCAUACCUCACCGUUUGUUUCAAACCUCGUGGUGUUGAAAUGAUUAAAUGAGAUUAAGGGGUGUGUGGUAGUGUUGGGCAAACCACAAGAAAACGGUCUGGGUGGGGUCUGGCCCUAAAAUCUUCCUCCCCCACCUCCCAGGCUUCCUUGCCUUGCUGCUUCCUCUCAGCCUUUAAACAGGUUGGCCUCUCCAAGUCCUAAAAACAAAAUUAUCAAGCCAACCUCCUCCUGAAGUGCUCCCUCCAACUAGCUUCCAAGUGUUUCAUGCGGACCUCAAACAAUGGUCUUCCCUGGCUGCCUCUGCUUCCUCAUUUCUCAACACUUGGCAUUCUGGCUUCUCCUCCCCAACUCUAACCCUUCACCUUGCUCAGGCAAGAGCAACUCAUGACUUUCAUUUUGCCAAACCUUGCAGGCAUUCCUCAGGCCUUAUCUCUCUGGUUCUUUCUGCUACAUUUGACACCUUGGGAUGACUCUCACCUUCUGGAAUCUCUCUACUACCUUGGUUUCAGAAGAGUGAACCCUCUGGAUUAUCACAUGAAGCCUCCGCAGGUGCUUCCUCUGUCCUUCUCUAAAUGUUGCUGUUCCCCAAGGCUCAACCCAGGAUCCAUUCCUGUGUCUACACAAGCUUGCCUGUGUGGACUCCUGCCUGCUCUCUGUGCCAGGAUCCCGUGACAUGAAACAGAAUAAGUGCUUCAUAAACGGGAGUGACACUAGGCGUGGUGGCAUGCAUCUGGAGUCCUAGCUACGCGGGAGGCUGAGGCAGGAGGAUUGCCU
rnacentral:lncRNA from 1 species